rnacentral:rRNA from 1 species
GGGGGGGGGGGGGGGGGGGCCUAGGACAUGCAGGGCGGGGGAACAGACGAGGAGCUUGCUCCUCUGACGUUAGCGGCGGACGGGUGAGUAACACGUGGAUACCCUACCUAUAAGACUGGGAUAACUUCGGGAAACCGGAGCUAAUACCGGAUAAUAUAUUGAACCGCAUGGUUCAAUAGUGAAAGACGGUUUUGCUGUCACUUAUAGAUGGAUCCGCGCCGCAUUAGCUAGUUGGUAAGGUAACGGCUUACCAAGGCAACGAUGCGUAGCCGACCUGAGAGGGUGAUCGGCCACACUGGAACUGAGACACGGUCCAGACUCCUACGGGAGGCAGCAGUAGGGAAUCUUCCGCAAUGGGCGAAAGCCUGACGGAGCAACGCCGCGUGAGUGAUGAAGGUCUUCGGAUCGUAAAACUCUGUUAUUAGGGAAGAACAAAUGUGUAAGUAACUAUGCACGUCUUGACGGUACCUAAUCAGAAAGCCACGGCUAACUACGUG